rnacentral:rRNA from 1 species
UACGUAGGGGGCAAGCGUUGUCCGGAUUUAUUGGGCGUAAAGCGCUCGCAGGUGGUCCGUCGCGUCGUGCGUGAAAGACCCCGGCUCAACUGGGGAGGGUCACGCGAUACUGGUCGACUCGAAGGCAGGAGAGGGUAGUGGAAUUCCCGGUGUAGUGGUGAAAUGCGUAGAUAUCGGGAGGAACACCGAUGGCGAAGGCAGCCUCCUGGGCCAGCACUGACGCUCAUGCACGAAAGCGUGGGGAGCAAACAGG